UACGUAGGGGGCAAGCGUUGUCCGGAUUUAUUGGGCGUAAAGAGCGUGUAGGCGGCUGGGUAGGUCCGUUGUGAAAACUCGAGGCUCAACCUCGAGACGCCGACGGAAACCCUCCAGCUAGAGUCCGGAAGAGGAGAGUGGAAUUCCUGGUGUAGCGGUGAAAUGCGCAGAUAUCAGGAAGAACACCCGUGGCUAAGGCGGCUCUCUAGUACGGUACUGACGCUGAGACGCGAAAGCGUGGGGAGCGAACAGG
rnacentral:rRNA from 1 species